UAGGAACUAGUCUAAAACAAGACCUCUAACUUCGACCUAGAAAAUCACAACCAGACCUGUGGUUCCAA
rnacentral:tRNA from 1 species